rnacentral:rRNA from 1 species
CCUACGGGUGGCAGCAGUGAGGAAUAUUGGUCAAUGGGCGCGAGCCUGAACCAGCCAAGUAGCGUGAAGGAUGACUGCACUACGGGUUGUAAACUUCUUUUAUAAAGGAAUAAAGUGCGGCACGUGUGCCUUUUUGUAUGUACCUUAUGUAUAAGGAUCGGCUAACUCCGUGCCAGCAGCCGCGGUAAUACGGUGGGUCCGAGCGUUAUCCGGAUUUUUUGGGUUUAAAGGGAGCGUAGAUGGGUUGUUAAGUCAGUUGUGAAAGUUUGCGGCUCAACCGUAAAAUUGCAAUUGAUACUGGCAGUCUUGAGUACAGUUGAGGUAGGCGGAAUGCGUGGUGUAGCGGUGAAAUGCAUAGAUAUCACGAAGAACUCCGAUUGCGAAGGCAGCUUACUAAACUGCCACUGACAUUGAUGCUCGAAAGUGUGGGUAUCAAACAGGAUUAGAUACCCCUGUAGUC